rnacentral:rRNA from 1 species
AUUCACCAGAGCAGAGUGAACUAUCUUGUUUUGUGGUGUUUGAAUAUGAUCGCAAUAGAAAAGUUACAAGAAGAAAUCAAAGAAGUCUUAGAUGGCGUCGAUGUUGGUUUUCUCGAAGAGAAAAAACUCUGUGACCCUUGUCUUGGGAGGAUCUUUGCAAAGAUCGAGAUCGGAUUUUCCAACCAGGUCAGAGGAGAGGUCGUAAGAGAUAUCCUGGGUUUCGAGGUAAAAAACAAUUCUACAGAUUGCUGGGU